CAUGCAAGUCGAACGAAGUAGCAAUACUUAGUGGCAGACGGGUGAGUAACAUGUGGGUAUCUGCCCUAUGGCCUGGAAUAACACGAGGAAACUUGUGCUAAUACCGGAUAAGUCUUAACGGAGAAAGCUUUAUGCACCAUUGGAUGAGCCCGCACUUGAUUAGUUUGUUGGUAGGGUAAUGGCCUACCAAGACUGUGAUCAAUAGCUGAUUUGAGAGGAUGAUCAGCCACAUUGGGACUGAGACACGGCCCAAACUCCUACGGGAGGCAGCAGUGGGGAAUCUUGCACAAUGGAGGAAACUCUGAUGCAGCGAUGCCGCGUGAGUGAAGAAGGCCCUUGGGUUGUAAAGCUCUUUCGUCGGGGAAGAAAAUGACUGUACCCGAAUAAGAAGGUCCGGCUAACUUCGUGCCAGCAGCCGCGGUAAUACGAAGGGACCUAGCGUAGUUCGGAAUUACUGGGCUUAAAGAGUUCGUAGGUGGUUGAAAAAGUUGGUGGUGAAAUCCCAGAGCUUAACUCUGGAACUGCCAUCAAAACUUUUCAGCUAGAGUAUGAUAGAGGAAAGCAGAAUUUCUAGUGUAGAGGUGAAAUUCGUAGAUAUUAGAAAGAAUACCAAUUGCGAAGGCAGCUUUCUGGAUCAUUACUGACACUGAGGAACGAAAGCAUGGGUAGCGAAGAGGAUUAGAUACCCUCGUAGUCCAUGCCGUAAACGAUGUGUGUUAGACGUUGGAAAUUUAUUUUCAGUGUCGCAGCGAAAGCGAUAAACACACCGCCUGGGGAGUACGACCGCAAGGUUAAAACUCAAAUGAAUUGACGGGGACCCGCACAAGUAGU
rnacentral:rRNA from 1 species